UCCCUGGCCCCGCUGAGGCCUCGUGGCGUCUCGUCCGGCUCUCCUGCAGAGGUUCUUCCAGGACGCGACCAUGAGUGACCAAAUCCAGUUCAUUGUUGAGAAGCUCAAUCAGGAGCCCUUCAGGAAGAACUACAAUUUAAUCACGUUUGACUCCUUAGAGUCGGUGCAGCUGUUGCAGCUGCUCAGUGAUGUGCUGGGGGAGAUUGACCCGAAGCAUGCUGUUGACGUUAGAGAGGAGCUGCCAGAGAAUACAGCUAAAAGAAUGUUGACUCUCCUUGGUAUCCUUAAAUACAAGCCUCCAGGAAGCGUAACAGACCUGAGCGCGUUUCGCCAAGGGUUGGUUACGGGAAGCAAACCUGUAAUUCAUCCUGUCUUACAUUGGCUUCUUCAGAGAACCAGUGAACUCAAGAAAAGGGCUUACCUGGCACGCUUCUUGGUAAAACUGGACGUGCCAGUGGAGUUCCUACAGGAUGAUACCGUGGCUGACGUCAACAAGCAGUAUGAAGAACUGAUGGAAGCAUUUAAAAACCUACAUAAGGAAUGUGAGCAGCUCAAAACAUCUGGUUUAUCUACUGCAGAAAUAAGAAGGGAUAUAAGUGCAAUGGAAGAGGAGAAAGAUCAACUCAUCAAAAGAGUGGAGCGUCUUAAGAAGAGGGUGGAGACAGUACAAAAUCAUCAACGAAUGCUUGAAAUAGCAAGACAGCUUCGCUUAGAAAAAGAGAGAGAAGAAUCUUUGGCUCAACAGAAACAAGAGCAAAAAAAUCAGUUAUUCCAUGCAGAGCAGAGACUGCAAAGAGCACAGCUCCAGCUGAAAGAGAUGCAUCAUGCAGUAGUGGAUUCAAAACCUGAAAGCUUAAUGAAGAAACUGGAAGAGGAGAUAAACUUCAAUUCAUACCUCGCUACUGAAAAAAUACCUAAGGAGCUUGAAAGUAAGAAGAAAUCAGUGUAUUUCUUACAAAAGGCAAUUGCAGAGCCAGCUAUGGGUCAAUCAGAUCUCAAUGUACUUGAAAGCAAGAUAAAUGAAGUAAAUGUACAAAUAAAUCAGCUUAUUGAGAAAAGAAUGAUGAAGUAUGAGCCUGUUGAUAGUAAACUUUCCAUGUAUCGCCAACAGGCAUCUAUAAUUUCCCGGAAGAAGGAAGCCAAGGCAGAAGAACUUCAGGCUGCUAAAGAAGAGAUGUCUAGCACAGAAAAGCAGAUGAUACAGAAGACGAAUCAGGCCCAUGAGUUAGAUGGCUCUGAAGUUCUGAAGGGGGAUGAGCUUAAGCACUAUGUCAAUAAGCUCCGGAGCAAGAACACAGUAUAUAAAAGGAAGCGACUGGAAGUAGCAGAAAUUACAGCUGAGUGUGGCAUCCUCCAGCGGACAGAAGAGCUCCUGAAGCAGCGGCACGAGGCCAUCCAGCAGCAGCUGCAAGCUAUUGAAGACAAGAAAGGUAUUUCUGGAUAUAGUUACACUCAGGAGGAGCUGGAAAGAGUAUCUGCAGUGAAGAGCGAAGUGGAUGGAAUGAAAGGCCAAACCUUAGACAACAUGUCUGAAAUGGUAAAGAAACUGAACGCUAUGGUGGCAGAGAAGAAGUCGAGCCUCGCUCCUGUCAUCAAGGAGCUGAGACAGCUGCGUCAGAAGUGCCAGGAAUUAACACAAGAAUGUGAUGAAAAAAAGAUCCAGUACGACAGUUGUGCAGCAGGGUUAGAGAGCAAUCGCUCCGCACUGGAACAGGAAGUGAAGGGACUUCUCGAGGAGAGCACUCAGGAAGAAAGCAACUACCACUAUGUGAACUGCAUGAAGAAAAAUCUAGAAAUACAGCUGCAACGUGUGAAAGAAGAAAUGAAGAUAUAUGUCUCCUCAGAUCCACAGGAGAGACGAAAGGCAAUUCGAGAACAGUAUACACGGAUGAUCCUUGAACAAGAAAGCCUUGGGAAGAAAUUACGAGAGAAGCAGAAGGUUGUACGGGAAAGUCAUGGGCCCAAUAUGAAGCAAAUUAAAAUGUGGCAGGAUUUUGAGCAGUUAAUGGAAUGUAAGAGAGAAUGUUUUGUGAAACAACAAAAUCAAACAGCUAUUGGUCAAGUCAUCCAGGAAGCAGGUAAAGAUAGGCUUGUACUAUGAACUCUUCCUUCUUUAUACUGACAUCAAGUAAGAAGACUGUGGGUUGGCUUCUCAAAGGUAAUCUCUUUGUUGCUUUCAUCAUUUCUAUUUAAAUUUGAUGUACAUUAUCUGUUUCUGAUGGAUAAAGUGCACCUAAACUUGAAGUUGUUCGUCCAUUGUUUAAGUGACAACAAAACAUAGUCAGGAAGAUCUGUUAUGAGAUCUGUGCUGGGGUGAACCUCAUCAUAAAUCUUUGUUUUAGAAGUCUGGGAAUGGCAUGCAUCUGCAGAGAGAUCAAAGGAAAACAAAUCCUUUUCCAGGGUCACAGAAAACUUAUGUAAUUGCUCUGCUCCUUAUUCCGUAUCACUAUGGUUAUAUUUUUGCAAGGUCUGGUACUUGAUAUUGUAUAAUUGUAGACCUCUUGGCUCGGCCAUCUCCUUCCCCAUUGUCUUUAUUCAUGUAGUGUGACUGGCAAGAAUGGAGCCAUUUUCACUCUGAGCUGCACAGAGCUUGCUUGCACACUCCUACUCAUACUUUCUUUGCAUGGUUCAAUUGAAGUGAUUGUGCUUCCAGGAGACAGUUCAUUGCACUAGCGUCACGACUUGGUUCUGAGAACAAUUACUUGGAUUCUGAGAUCGUUCCAUUAUCUCUUGUUGUUUUAACAACUGUAUGUUUCUUGCAUAUAGAAACAUAUACUUCUUUCUAAUUUUUCUUAGCUGUCUAUGGGAAAGUGUUAACUGUGGUCCACUAAAACCUUUCUCUACUGAAGAUACAUUGCUGUUCUGCCUGUGCAGUAUGGUUCCAAAGUGGUUGUGCCAGCCAAAGAGCGGCGUAGAGCAGGGAUGGAGGGCUACUGGUGAAUGUAAAUAAGGCACGGUGUUUCCUCCGUAUGGUGGGGUAUGCAGAGCAGAUAUGCACGGCUCCUUUAUAUUCAGGCUUUGACCUGUGGGCCACAAGCAACUGUAAAAAUUGCAUCACGAGACCCGCAGCUAACCCAGGGUAAGAGGAAUGCAGAUGAGGCUUGAAACUCUCCGUCACGCUUCAUCAUUUCUGAUGAGCGCCUCUUUGUCACAAUCAAAAGACCAGAAGCAGAGAGAUAAGUCUGGGUGACGAGAGCUCCUGCUGUUCUUCUGGAGCCUCUUGGCUUAUUGAAUUUUUUUAUUUUUCCUGCCUAAAUAAAAAUGAAUUUUUUUCAGUAGUAGUUUUUUUUUUUUUUUUUUUUUAAUCAGGUGUAAUUUGGACACAAGAAAUGAUUUAGCCUUCUCUGACACCUAAUUAAGAGAUCUGCUAUUUUCUCUGUCAAAGGAGGGUUUGGUAACUGUAUAAUUCCUAGUUUGUCUUUACAUUAAGUAUAUUUGCUAACAAAGCUUGAAUAAAAUCCAAUGACUACAUUUUGACUGAAUGUUAUUUUCUAUAUUUCAUAGGUUUAAGAAGUAAUAAAAGUAAAUUCUUACUGACAAGUUUCUGGCUGGGCCACAGGAGAAUGGUUUGAAAAGCUUAGGGUCAUUGAAUUACAUUUAUUCCAGAUGCCCCCAAAAGGUUCUGAACCCACUGUACGCCUAAGGAGCGUGUCCAGAGAUACUCAGGACAUCCUCAUACAAGCCCUCCCACACUGCUGAAUAGCUGAAGAUAGUUUUUCUCAACAGCUGCACGUUGAUCUUUCCCAGGACGAGGAGAAGCAGCACAUUCUCCACUACGCACACUGUCAGUGAGCAUGGAGGGAAGGAUGUUGUGUGGGACACUGGCAGUGAAGUGUGGAGAAGGGGCUGCAUUGCCACCAGCAGCCUUUUCCCUGGGCGUUUAGGUUACGCAGUGAUCAGAGCUGGAGGACUGCCUCCGGUUCAAAGGCAGCAGCACAGGGAGAAGGGGCAUCUCAUAUACUUCAACAUUUUGUAACAAAUCCCUAAAAACCCUAUUUGACCAGGCCAUUUAUACAAAGAUUUAUUGCAGCCGUUAGUCUGCUGCCCAGGGAAAAGCAAUGCUUUUGAAAUUCAUAGCAAUGAUGUCGAGUAAGACUGAGUGUAACCAUUUUCCGUUCUUGUGUUCAGUUACCCUAAAAAUAGUUCAUCUUUCUUCCUUGUAAAAACAGUUUAUUGCUGGUUACUCAAUGAUGACGUGAUUGUUGCUCUGAUCUGAUUAGCUCUCUGUCAUUUGUACAGCACCGAGAAAGGGCACAGAGAUUAUACACUACAGCAGCAGCAAAAUUACUUUCUGAGAUGAAGCAGAAAAUCAUAAUGGCUGUUAUGAAAAGAAAAUUGGAAAAACUCAAAUGCUAUUUUUAACUUUUAUAUAAGUGGACAUUUAAUAAAUGCCCCUUAAUGGUUUCUGCUCACCGGCUUUUCCACGUGGUUUGUGAGUUGAAGGGAGCAUUCAAAAAUCUUCGACUGAGUUUUGCAGUUUUACUUCCUAAAUUGUAAGGAAAAGCUUAUUCCUAAUAUAUAUAUUUAUGUAAUAUAACUUUAUUACUGUAAGCUAGCUAGUCAAUAAGAUUAAACAUACUAUAUGGAAAAAUAGCUGCCCUCUCUUGGCAAAGGCCCAAAUAAAAAAAAUGGGCAUAGCUAAAUGUGGGCUCUCUGCACUUACCAAAUUUCCUCCCGUUGGAACGCUGAUCGGAGCAGUCCCUCACCAGCGACUGAUGACUUUGCUUCACAAGGGUUCUCCUCAUCUUUAUCCAGAACUGGAUGAGAAGGUUUUCCAGUGGCAUUGUGCAGCUUUGCGUUAUUUACUCCUAUUAACACCAACUGUCCCUGGAGCCACAGGAAAGCUCCACAUGGGCCUAGGAGAUGAAAUAGUUAUAGACAUCAGAAAUGGGCUCGAGAGAGCAGUAUGUCUACUGUGUUACAUACAGAGCCAUUUUAUCAUCUGAAUAUGGGAUUAUUUAUACCACCAUGUAGCUUCCAUAUGAACUACAGAAAGUAAGUGUUCCUAUACUUUAAGUGACCCGGAUCUGGGAAUACUUAUUUGUACACCUUUACUCACACACAGGUAUUAUGACUUUUGUAGUAUAGUUGCCAACAAACAUAGAAGUCCUGCUACUGUAUUUUACUGUGUUUAAAUAUACAGAUUUCCAGAGCUUUCUUGAUAAGGCUAUUUUACAGGCAUGAUAUUGAUCUCUGUUACAAAAUACAAUACAGCAAGAGUGUUUAACAACAGUUCAGAGCUUAGACAACGUGCUUACGAUGGGCAUUUUCUGAUCAAUAAGAAUGAAUGAAGUAGCCAACAAGCAACACAAGCACUGUUCUCCAAAAUGACUUGCUGGUUCAGGAGCUGGAAGCGGAGAGCUUUUUCUCUUUACAUCACUAUUUCAUGUCUGGCCCGGAUCAACAGUGACUCCAAGCUCACCGUGAGCUACCUGGCCGCUGUCCUCAGCAAGAGAUGGAAGCAGAGCCAUUUGGCAGGAGCGCUCUGAAUUCCUAAAUCACCACUCUGGCAGCGUCUGGUGAGCCUGGAGUCAGCUUCCACAAGAAGGCAGGCAAACAUGACUGGAAGACAGCAGAGACUGAGUGCUGUUAUCCAAAGGUGUCACCUUGGGAGAAAGGCCGUAACACGCUGACAGCGCAGUGUGGGAAACUCGCUCCAUCACCUUGCUCAGGGAUGAGGACCACAUGGAUGCACGCAGGUCUGCUUUCUCUCGUUGGUGCUGCAUUUGCUCAGAUGUAAGUGAAAAAGACAAAGAGCUCAUUCUCAACAUUUGCUCUACGUUACCUUUUGUAGCAGUAGGUUUUUGCUGAUGGGAUGCUGUUAACUCUUCGGCUGCCUUUCUCUAUCGUAACCUGCAAUGGAAACAAUUCAAAUUUGCAGGGACACAACAGUGUUGCAGCGAGGAAACUCCACGUGAAUCACAAGGUUAUCAUAAGGUAUCAACUUUAUGGGCAUCACCCAAUUGAUGAGUUGUUUUCUAACCGUCGUCAUUUGACCCAUUUUCAGAUUGCUUAAAGAGUUCUUUAAAUUUUCAGCAUGAAUUUAAAAUAGGUUCUUUAAAUUCUCAAGUGCUUCUGUACUGUUGAUUCUUCAGAGGCAGUCUCAACUCCCAAGGCAGUCUGUUUCUUUGAAGGUCACUGGGUGAAAAGGGUAUUUUUCACAAUUGCAUUACACUGCUUUUCAUGCUCCCAAUUUACAGUGGGGAAGUGCUGUCAGCCGUGUGCUGUGGGAAUGUCAGACUCAGUGAGGAGCUGUGGUACUUGAGGCGGGGAGCAAUCACACUCCAAGUAAUCAGCAGGAACUGUGAGACAAAUCCUGCAGUCCAUACACUCACAAAACCCUCACUGACUUCAGUGGGAGUUUUGCCAAAAUAAGGUCUGCUGGAUUUAGCUCUUCCUCCUGAUGGAACAAGUGGAAAUUAAAGGGCCAGGAUCAGAUUUGUGUGACAGAGAGAAAAAGAAGAACCAUAAUUAUCUUAAAAUUAACAACUUUUGCCCGAAGCAAAUCAAUGUUCCAUUAGAAGCAUUUAAUUUACAACAAGAAUCAAGUGUUUGUGUGAGUGCUUCUCAGCACUACCAAAAUCCACUACGCUUUGGUUUUUAUUAGACAUCAGUGAGAGGCUGCCUUGCUCAAUCUCGUGUUGGAGUAUUUAUAACAUUUAAUAUAUCACAUCACACAUUACCUUGUAUUUAACAACAUUAUUUACAUUUGUUAGAAGGAUAAGAAGUGUAUUUUAACCUUUUUAUCAUAUCUCCAUUCCACAUCAUUUUCAGACAAGUGCAUUUCUGCAAAUCAGGACACGCCGCCGGCAUUUGCUAACUGCCAGGAGCUGGAGUUCUUUUCCUGCAGGUGCUUCUACAAAAGCCGACGUUAUUGCUCUGCUUCAGCCCUCUCUAUCAUUACAGAAUGACAUUUCAUUUUUAAGCUUCUCAAUUUUAUUCCAGUAGGUGCUUCAUUAGGUUAACUUUUGAAACAGGAGAAAGCCAAAUGCCGCACAUUUUGCUAAUACCAGAAAAAAUGAAGUUGGUAGGAGCAUGGAAAAUGGGACCUGACUCCUUUUCAGAGGUAAAUUCUUUGUCCUGCUUCUUCCUCAUUCUCCUUAUUCCUGCUUCUUUCCCCUGGAAUGGAAUAGAAAAUAUGCCUGGCAACUUAGGAAACAACAAAAAAAGAAUAAAGGUAUGCAUCUUAUACAAACAGUGACCACUUCAGGGAAAUAAUAGAGGACUUAAUCUCAUCAUAUCUUCCUGAUCAAUUUUACAGCUGUUUCAUACUGAAAAAAAAUCUCGGUUCAGGUUUUCUGCAAUUAAAAUUUUGAAUGCAAUUUUAUAAAAGGAUUCCUGUUUUUUGGAAUACCAGUCAAAACUUUAAGGGCUGUACGACGUGAAGGAUGCAGUUUAGUUGGUUGACACUGUUAUGGUACCUUCUGGCAAAUAAGCUAAAGCUUGGGCAUUUCUCUGGAGUCAGCACAUCAAUCUCAGAGCCAUUAAUGACAAAUUACCAAAAGCACAAAGUGAUUUUUUUAAUUUGGAACCCUAUCAGUUGAAUAUCUAAAAAUUAUGCAUCGUGUGGAAAUGUUGCAUUUGCAUCUCAACCAUCUCGAUGAUGUGUUUCUCCAAGGCAGCAUCCUGUGGACUGCAACAUUCAGAAACCUGGAAUUCUUUUAGAGUAUUUAUAAAAUGCUGUACCCAUCUCCCUUAUUCUAUGUUUUGAAGCUUGCCGUGUUUUCAGAGCAUAUUUUAAAGAAAACAGAACUGUAUCAGAACACUGAAAGUCACCCACAGACAGCCUGUUUCACUGAUGCUUUACAUUUGCACCGCAUCUUCUGUCCUAAAGGAUUUCUCUGCUUCAUUUCCAUUCUAUGUAGGCUGAUGAGACUGCUCAGGUAUCUGCAGGAGUGAGUCAGGGAACACUGGGAGAUGUGCUUCACGUUCAGAGACAUCAAGAAUCUGAUUUCAAGCCAGAGCUCACACAGACUUGAUGUAAAGUCUAAAUGAGGAGAGUGGUAAUGCUGGUGAAUGCGCUGCGGUGGGGCUGCCACCUGUCUGGAUGGCAGGAGAAAUAUUGUUUGUCAAGCUUCAAGUUUAAAUCCAAGAUGAACAAACCACGGCGCAGAAUGAAAUGGAAUGCUUGGGCCAUCCCUGGGCUUUGGCCUAAGGGUACAGCCAGGGUCCCCCACCUGAUGCUGUCUGAGAGAGAUGCCGGGUUUUGCCCUGACUGUUGCUGUUCAGACAGCCCAGACUUCAUCCUGGAUUGAUGUUUACCAGCACAGCAGACAGUGUCCCAGCUUUGGGUAUCCUCAUCUGAUCUCUGCCAUUCCCUAAAAGUUGAGUCAUUUGGCUGGUUUAUGUCUCCUGUGUAGAGGUGUAGUUUCACCAAAUGCCUACUGCCUGCAGGAAGAACUCCCUCCGAACAGAUUCUCUACCUGAGAAUCAGGGAAGGAAAUAAAUCUGGAACUGGUGACAUUUCGAGGACAAGGAAAACAACCGCUCGGAGAAUUAUCUGAUUCAGUUGGUGUUUAUUUUUACUUAUAUCCAGCAAUCUGCUCCCCAACAGAAGAUGCUUGUUUGCAGAAAAGAAGGCUGUCUCCUGUCUGGGCUGGCGCCUGGUCUGGAGAAAAGGUGGCACUAAGGACAAGAGGUAUGCUUUAAGCAUGUAUUAGCUAACGCAGUAGGCUGCUGGGUGGGAAUUGGAUGUGCCAUGUAUAAUAGCUAAUUAAGGAUAAAUCCUACAUUCCUUCCCGUCAUGCUUCUCAUCUACCACCAUAAGCUAAAUCUGCCUGGCACUCAGACGUGCACAUUCCAAACUAAAGCAUUCCACAUGAGGAAUUUUAGAAUUGAUUAUUCAUAAAUAAUGUGUGUAGAGAAGCCGUAAGGUAUAGCUCAGCUAAUUUACUUCACACACUCUUGCUGUCAAAUUAGAAUUUCACAAUAAGUCUCUUGGAGAAACUUCUGCAGUCUGAGGAUACUGUCAUGAGGGUCUGAAUAACUGCAGAUUGCAAACUAGAGUGAAACAGAUUGCAUCAGAAUGGUGAACAGGUUAAGAAGCAGAAAAGAGCUGUUACUUUUUGCUGCAACUGAAUUGCUAAGAAACAAGUGAAAAUGUAAAAUCCAUGCUUCCAUCUGCCCAAGGCUCAACCCUUAUUUCCAGGUUAUUUCUACUACGGUGAUUUUGUCUUGCAAAACUUUCACGUAAGGCAUUAAAUAAUGUUGAGUCACUGAUGUGCCAGCUGUGGUAUCCAGUAGUUACUGAAUAUAAACCUGAGUCUUUGCUUUCUCCAAGUCUUUGCCUCGGUGAUAUCUUAAAACAUAACAGCCUCUGCCUGUUGGCAAUUUUUCUCAUGGGGAGAGUGACAGAACAUUUUGUGUUCUCUUAUCUUCAAUAGCAAUGAAACAGGAGGAGCUCCACAAUGCGAAACCAAAUCUACUGCUAUUAAUACAACAUCCCAGCCACAGAGAAGAGAUUUGUUUAUUUAUCAAAGCUAGAGAUGCCUCUCUCUGACCUUUCCAGAGCUUGUGUGCUUUAGCUGGGAAUAGAUUCCUAAGAACGGGAUGCUCUUUUUAAAAAUACACACUAAAAACUUAGCCCCCACUCCUGAAACAGAGCCAAGGCUGGAAACCCAAUUAUGUGAAAUGCCCCAUAAUGUUGAGUAUUCAGAAUAAGUCUAACUAGGGCAAUGGUCCAUUGCACAGAGAUCAGUCAGCCCACUCACCCUUCCUCCUGCCAAUCAGUGACACAUUAAGUGACUAUAACCAUACAUGGGCCCACUUUCUGAGGCCUAACAUCUGCCUGCAGCCCAAGAAACCCGUCAGUAGGGCUCUUAUUUUUUUUUUCUUCCAGAAUUUAAAAGUGUUUCAGACUGUACUGAACUGUAUUUGUUUGUAUUCUUCUGGAAUUCGUUUUGAAGUGAAAAAAAAAUCAUUACAUGCACAAAUCAAAAUGUAAGUUUUUUUUUUUUACCAGUUUGUUGUAUUUACUGACCUGUCUGGACAGCCUAAGAGAAUCUCUGCAAUAGUUGAAUCUUGCAUAUUGAAACUGGCUUAUUUACCUGAUAGAUGCAUAAUCCACUUAUCAAGCUGGUGCACCUCUAACUCUCAGGGUGAUUCCAGUUUGGUCAUCCGUGUUGGGCAAUUUUAAAUUAAAGUUCCCUAGCUGUCUGCUUGCCAGAAGCAGCAAGCAGCUGUCCUGCAACACAGUUGGCAAAAAUGAAUGCAACUGGCUUCUCAGCCAUCUAGUUCUCACUGAAACCACCACUGAUUUUGGUACCUGCUCCUUAACAGGCUGUUAAGGAAAUAUCAAAGAGGCCUGAGCACAAGAACUGGGAGCAGGGAAAGAAUUGGCCUUAUGUGUACUGAUUCCAAAGCAAUAGUCAUGUUACAUAAAGGGAAAACAAUACUUAUGCCACCUCCUUCUCCUCCAACAGUUACAACAGAAGGCAGCAUACCUUCCUUCAUAGGAGGAUCCAGUCUUAUCUGACAGCUGUGCUCUAAGCGUGCCUGCUUAAGUGGGCCCUUCCAAGACAUGCCUGUAGCUGGCUAUCUGAGAUCUCACAGACUGGGCUCAUGGCACUGCAGUUGGUUCCCCUCUCCUGCCUGCCCUUGGUUGCAUGAGCACCAGCUCUCCAUGCAGCAGAAUUGCAAGGCACGUCACAGAGCUGUUCACCUUAGAGUAAUACCAAAAAAAGAAAUCAGACUGCCUCGUUAAGCAUUCAGUUCACUGUGACUAACAUGUCUGUCAGAUGCACUGGUAAAAUUGCUUGUGGGCCUCAGCACAGAACACUGCCUUUUUUUUGAAGCUGUUGUUUUUGCUAAGUAACUUCCAACUGCCUGUACCCAUAAAAUGGUGGAAAAUAAAGGGACUGAAAGCAGCAUGAAGGUGUGUAAGUAGGAGCACAGCUGCACCUUUUGGCAGAAGUACCAGAUGUUGGGGAUGAGAAAGUGCCCUGUUGAACUGUGUCUUAUGUCCAAGUCUUGUUUUAAUUAUCAUGCUACUUGCUGUUGUCUAGGUAUUGCAUAUAGGGUCCUGUGAUUUGACUAAGCCGAUCACCUGUAGAAUUAGAAAUAAACUCCAAGAGUCCAAAAUUACUAUUUACUCUCUGUAAGCAACCACUGGGCAAUAUUAUCUAUAAAUAAAAUCUCCCAAAUAUUACUCUGAACCACGUAGCAGCUUGGAAGGCCAAAAAACUGUCUUUCAUUACUUCUUCACACUUUUGAAGGAAUUGGUUUAGCAGUGAUGCAUCCCCUCAUGCUCUGACCAACUUCACACUUCAUUUUUUAUCCAAAUCUAAGUAACAGGCUUUGGGGACCUUGUCUGUAUUCCUUCCUACUCAAGUCUGUUCCCAUCUGCCUGAUCCCCUCAGUGACUUCACAAUACUUCUUUUGUGUCACCAGAACUACUGUUGCCUCCCAGUCAAACUUCCCACACUGGUCUCUAAAACUGCACUCCCUGCUUUUGCAUGUUCAGUUUCUGUAUCUGCAAGCGCAUGAAUAAGGGCUUGUUUGAGGACACAGAAUUUAGUAUGGCCAUUUUACAAUUUGGGUUCAGGCUGAGCUCAGUGUCUACGGAAAAUUGCCAAAAAGCUUCUGAUCCCGGUAAUUAGGGGACAGGCAUGUGAGGAACCUGUGGAAAGAGGUCCCUCACCCUGCCUGACUCACAGCUGGAGUUUCUCGCUGGCAGUUGAGACGGGUGAUGUGAGAGGUUAGUCAAGAGUGGGGGCAGAUUCCAGUGGGGUUUCACCAGCCAAAUUCCUAUCUAGCAAAAGGUUGCUACAGCAACUCUGAGCCACCCGAGAUACAGAAAUUAUUGUAAUGGCUGCUGAAAUGCCUCGCUACUGCUCUGAGACAGGAUAAGGAAAACCCCUCCUUUUGAUAUGGGAUGGUUACCCACUGCCACGCUUUUAUGUCAGCUCUGUACAAGCGCCAGGUUUCCUGAACUUGCUUGGGAGCCAGGGUUACCUUUCAGUCCAAAGCAAGCCACCAUUACUGGUGUAUGUAAUGCAAACAUUGAAAUAAUAAACCUAAACACUGAACAACAAGCCAAUACUUUUUUUUUUUCCCAUGGAGAGAAUAAAAUAGUAAACAAAUCAUAUGAUAACAUCCUAUGGAAUGGGCUGACCAGAAUAUAGAAACCUGCACAUAGCCAAAUUGUGUAUUUUCCUGACUAGAGUUUCUGGUUUUCAAAAUUCACAUAGAUACAAAAAGAAACAAACAAAACAAAAAUGGGACAAAAGCCCUCACAGCUUCCCAGCGACUCUCCAGCCAUUUUUUGGCCGCCUCCAGCCUGAGCAUGUUUUCCUCUGGCAUUUGGCCCACUCACAGGUCAUUCAGUCCACUGGACUAUGUCAUAAAUACCAGACAGAGACGAUGCUUUGGACAGAAUGGGAAAGCUUGUGACCUAAACAGGACCUGAAUUUAGAAUGGGGUGGACUGAGGAUAACAGAGACGUAGCACCAGCAUUAUCAGCAUACUCUCUAUGUGAAAAAAACUUUCUCAUAGUUUCUCCCAUUUACCUCCCUGUUGCUUCAGAGCAACUCAGUUUACUCUAGAAGCCAACAAUGAAAACAGCAGAAACUCUGUUAUCUGAAAUAGUAGCUGUUUUUAGCUGAAAUAACUGGCUUUUAAAAUUAUGGUGAUAAUUUCACUAAGACAUCAGUUCAUACCUCAGUGUUGCAUUUUGGUCACAAAAAAAAAAGACCAAGUCAUUGUGGGCGCAGAUACACUAAAAUUGAUAUGGUUGCGUCCUGGCUGAAUUUGGCCCAGCAUGCCUAGAACAUGCUCUGGGAUUAUUCAGUUCAAAAUACCACACUAAUCCAAUCUCCUAAAGCUGCCAAAUGUUGUAAUGUUUGGUAUCAGCAUGUGGCAUUUUAUGGUUUUUGAUACAAGCUCGGUCUCUUGUUAACAGAGAAUUUCUUAGGUUUCUUACCUUUUGCCAGGUCUGCGAGCUCUUGGGCUGACCCUGAAAAGCCUGGGAACGAACUGUGCUUCCCUGUGUCCAAACACCCUGAGCGAGUCAUUGUCUACUGAGAAACUGGUUCUCAGAGCUCAAGAAAAGCAUAUCAUUUUUAAAACAAAACAUUUGUUAACUAAGGAUUUCCUGGAUUUUUCUGCUUUCUUAUUUAUACUAUGAUCUAGACACUGUGAAACCACUGUUUAACUUCCAGUAUUAUUUAUGGAAGCCAGCCCAUUGAUGUUUCCAGAUCUUAGAGAGAACUUCCAAUUUGCAGUUUCAGUACCAGGUGCAUAAUCCUGACUUUAAUUAAUAAACUAAAAAAUAAUAUAGUGCAAGUACUUAACUCUCUCAUGCUUUGUCUCACUAUCCAUGGGCAGGGCAUCUUCUAUAGGCUCCUGAAUCCUGAAAGCUCUGCUUCGGUGACAAUUCAGGACCUGUGGUUUCCAACCUUUUCAGUGCAGGAGGGGUAAAUAUUAGUUUGGGAGCACUCCUGUUGCACACAGAAAGACAAAAUGCUUGAACACAUGAACAGAUUUUAGGAAACAAACGUAGCACAUUAACACUUCUGACUAAAAUUCUUCACUUCGCAACUGAAAGAAGGAGGUAAGGAAUGAUGAUUUAGCAGACUGGGUCCAACUUCUGUGCUGUCAAUGUGGCUACUCUGGUUUAUAACUGUGGUGAAAAAAAUCACUUUAAAGUAUAACCCUCUCUGGAUGCACCUGGGUUUGCAUGCUGUUUGCAUGCAUUCUGUGCUACACAUCACAGCUGCAUAAACAAAGUGGUUUGUAAAUAUUAGCAAAUUUGAAAUGAGCAUCUUAAAUUUAGUUUGCUUGAGUAGAAAUGACCAUGCAUAUAGCACAAGGCAGCACAGAAUCAGGUCAGUGAAGUUCAUGUGACCCCCAUCUAAGCAAGAUAUAUUGGUUGCCCAAUAGGGCCAUUAACAAACAGCAGGGGAGAGAGUGCAGUAGUAGUAAAUAGCUUAUUUAAAGCUCUGCUCAGGUGCUCCUUUACCUUACAGUCCUCCUGUCUGCCACUCAUCAGAGGACUGUUUGUGCAUUGUUGCACAGACUUCAUCACGCCAUCAGUUACAGCUGCCCCAAGGACUUCUACGAUGACAGAUAAAGGUUGCAAUGUGCUGAUGACCCGUGAGGAUGUUAGUGGGAUGGAAUAUUGUGACUUUCAAAUGCCUUUUUGAAAACCUGGGGAAAUAUAUCCCUGAAGUCUUUAUUUAAGAGAGAAAAUAUUAAGUCUACAAAAUGCUUGAAACACUUGCUGAAAUUAGAAAAACUUGGAUUAGAAAAAGCAGCCCGGAAUCACGUAAUUAAGGAUUGCAUUGGGGCAUAAACAUGGAAAGGCAGCCUUUACUCUGGCAUUUUCCAACUUCGGUGUGCUUGCAAGUUAUUCAUAUUUUGGCAAAGAUGCUGGAUACAUAAAAUGUAUAUAUUAUAUAUAGAACUGCAUUUAUCUCUGCUGUAUUUUCUGCCUUACAAAUACACUUUUCCUGGUUCCAUGUCAGAACCUACAACAUUAACAUAUUCAGAUGCCAGUUGCUGGAUUUAAUUGUUUCUUGAUAAUCCAGAGGCUGAGCCUGGACUUGCUCAGCCUCUCCAUACUUCAGUCUUAUCUAGCACUUUUUCUAAGCCACCCAGAUAAAUUAUCUCAGUGUCCUGAGGUAAAGUGAUUCUCUUGUCCACGGGGUCUGGAUUGCUCCAAUUUCUUUCUUUAUUUAUUCUGCUUCAUCUGCCAGACAGUUCUGAGCUCAAGCAUUAGGAGUGAUGAACAGGAAAAGCUUUCUCUUUCUCUGAUUUAAUUUAAAAAAAUGUAUCAUGCUGUACCAAGAAUUUCC